UACGUAGGGUGCGAGCGUUGUCCGGAAUUAUUGGGCGUAAAGAGCUCGUAGGCGGUCUGUCGCGUCGAUCGUGAAAACUUGGGGCUUAACCCUGAGCUUGCGGUCGAUACGGGCAUGACUGGAGUUCGGCAGGGGAGACUGGAAUUCCGCGUGUAGCAGUGAAAUGCGUAGAUAUCCGGAGGAACACCGGUGGCGAAGGCGGCUUCCUGGACCGAUUACUGACGCUGAAACGCGAAAGCUAGGGGAGCGAACGGG
rnacentral:rRNA from 1 species